GGAUCUGUAGUUCAGUUGGUUAGAACGUUCGAUUCACAUUCGAAAGGUCAGAGGUUCGAGUCCUCUCAGGUCCA
rnacentral:tRNA from 1 species